rnacentral:rRNA from 1 species
AGUAAUGUCUGGGAAACUGCCUGAUGGAGGGGGAUAACUGCUGGAAACGGUAGCUAAUACCGCAUAACGUCGCAAGACCAAAGAGGGGGACCUUCGGGCCUCUUGCCAUCGGAUGUGCCCAGAUGGGAUUAGCUAGUAGGUGGGGUAACGGCUCACCUAGGCGACGAUCCCUAGCUGGUCUGAGAGGAUGACCAGCCACACUGGAACUGAGACACGAUCCAG